rnacentral:ncRNA from 2 species
GAAAUGCGAUACUUGGUGUGAAUUGCAGAAUCCCGUGAACCAUCGAGUCUUUGAACGCAAGUUGCGCCCGAGGCCUUUGGCCGAGGGCACGUCUGCCUGGGCGUCACGCAUCGCAUCUCCCCCACACAACCAUAAGUUGUCGGGGAAGGAGGAUGGCUUCCCGUGCCUCAUCGGGCUCGGUUGGCCUCAAUUUGGAGCCAAAGGCAUCGUUCUUUUGCGGCGAUAGGUGGUGAAACAAGCAACCCGUCGUGUAGGACUUUGCCUAUAGAAGCUUGUAGGACCCUAUGAAGUUGCAAUCUUGCGACUCUUAUGUUGCGACCCCAGGUCAGGCGGGGCUACCCGCUGAAUUUAA